GGGGGKUGGUAAGCGUUGUUCGGAAUUACUGGGCGUAAAGGGCUCGUWKGCGGCCAACUAAGUCGGACGUGAAAUCCCUCAGCUUAACUGGGGAACUGCGUCCGAUACUGGAUGGCUUGGAUUUGGGAGAGGGAUGCGGAAUUCCAGGUGUAGCGGUGAAAUGCGUAGAUAUCUGGAGGAACACCGGUGGCGAAGGCGGCAUCCUGGACCAAUAUUGACGCUGAGGAGCGAAAGCCAGGGGAGCAAACGGGAUUAGAUACCCCGGUAGUCCUGGCCCUAAACGAUGAAUGCUUGGUGUGGCGGGUAUCGAUCCCUGCCGUGCCGAAGCUAACGCGUUAAGCAUUCCGCCUGGGGAGUACGGUCGCAAGGCUG
rnacentral:rRNA from 1 species